UGGGUGGCCGUACCCACUGGGAACCAUGGAGUUGGUUCUCACCCCACGUGGUUUUGGGGUGUUUUCAGGUUGUACGUGUGCAGCGCGGUGGCGUUAGGCGAGGGCGUAGUUCAGUAGAUAGCGCCCUACCAUAGAGACCGAGGUAGCAGUACUCUGAGGCAGUCUAGCUUAGGGGACUAGAAGGCAAGGAAUCAAAAUGUAUCAAAUUUGUAAAAUAAAUGAUGUAAUAAAUGCGAUUGUAAUUUGGAAGAAGAAUGUAAUAUGAAACUGAGAUGUACUAGGUAAUGGCUAAUGAAUGCUUGUAAUAGCGUUAGUUUUAUGUAUUUGAUACUUCCUUUGCAAUCUGGAUUGACAUCCGUUCCCGUUUGGAACAUCCUUGUAUUCUGUUUUGAUUGCGACGCCUAGAACGUACAGGGGAGACU
rnacentral:lncRNA from 1 species